rnacentral:rRNA from 1 species
AUUGAACGCUGGCGGCAUGCCUUACGCAUGCAAGUCGAACGGUAACGGGCCUUCGGGUGCCGACGAGUGGCGAACGGGUGAGUAAUGUAUCGGAACGUACCUUUCAGUGGGGGAUAACGUAGCGAAAGUUACGCUAAUACCGCAUAUUCUGUGAGCAGGAAAGCAGGGGAUCGCAAGACCUUGCGCUGAUUGAGCGGCCAAUAUCAGAUUAGCUAGUUGGUGAGGUAAAGGCUCACCAAGGCGACGAUCUGUAGCGGGUCUGAGAGGAUGAUCCGCCACACUGGAACUGAGACACGGUCCAGACUCCUACGGGAGGCAGCAGUGGGGAACUUUGGACAAUGGGGGCAACCCUGAUCCAGCCAUGCCGCGUGAGUGAAGAAGGCCUUCGGGUUGUAAAGCUCUUUCGGCCGGGAAGAAAUCGUAUCAGCUAAUACCUGGUGCGGAUGACGGUACCGGCAUAAGAAGCACCGGCUAACUACGUGCCAGCCGCCGCCGUAAUAC